CGCGCGGUCUCCUGGGUGACGGGAACGCGGUAGCCUGCUUGGUGGAGACCGGGUGCGCCUGCGUACUUCGUAGUUCGCGUAGCGGCUCGAGCGUGGAGAUGAAGCGUAUUUUCUCACUGCUAGAAAAGACUUGGCUUGGCGCACCAAUACAGUUUGCCUGGCAAAAAACAUCAGGAAACUACCUUGCAGUAACAGGAGCUGAUUAUAUUGUGAAAAUCUUUGAUCGCCAUGGUCAAAAAAGAAGUGAAAUUAACUUACCUGGUAACUGUGUUGCCAUGGAUUGGGAUAAAGAUGGAGAUGUCCUAGCAGUGAUUGCUGAGAAAUCUAGCUGCAUUUAUCUUUGGGAUGCCAACACAAAUAAGACCAGCCAGUUAGACAAUGGCAUGAGGGAUCAAAUGUCUUUCCUUCUUUGGUCAAAAGUUGGAAGUUUCCUGGCUGUUGGAACUGUUAAAGGAAAUUUGCUUAUUUAUAAUCAUCAGACAUCUCGAAAGAUUCCUGUCCUUGGAAAACAUACUAAGAGAAUCACUUGUGGAUGUUGGAAUGCAGAAAAUCUGCUUGCUUUAGGUGGUGAAGAUAAAAUGAUUACAGUUAGUAAUCAGGAAGGUGACACGAUAAGACAGACACAAGUGAGAUCAGAGCCUAGCAACAUGCAGUUUUUCUUGAUGAAGAUGGAUGACCGAACCUCUGCUGCUGAAAGCAUGAUAAGUGUGGUGCUUGGCAAGAAAACUUUGUUUUUUUUAAAUCUGAAUGAACCAGAUAACCCAGCUGAUCUUGAAUUUCAGCAGGACUUUGGCAACAUUGUCUGCUAUAAUUGGUAUGGUGAUGGCCGCAUCAUGAUUGGUUUUUCAUGUGGACAUUUUGUGGUCAUUUCUACUCAUACUGGAGAGCUUGGUCAAGAGAUAUUUCAGGCUCGUAACCAUAAAGAUAAUCUAACCAGCAUUGCAGUAUCACAGACUCUUAACAAAGUUGCUACAUGUGGAGAUAACUGCAUUAAAAUCCAAGACUUGGUUGACUUAAAAGACAUGUAUGUUAUACUCAACCUGGAUGAGGAAAAUAAAGGAUUGGGUACCUUGUCCUGGACUGAUGAUGGCCAGUUGCUAGCACUCUCUACCCAAAGGGGCUCACUUCAUGUUUUCCUGACCAAGCUUCCCAUACUUGGGGAUGCCUGCAGCACAAGGAUUGCCUAUCUCACCUCCCUCCUUGAAGUCACCGUAGCCAACCCUGUUGAAGGAGAGCUACCAAUCACAGUUUCUGUUGAUGUGGAACCCAACUUUGUGGCAGUAGGUCAUUAUCAUCUGGCUGUAGGAAUGAAUAAUCGAGCUUGGUUUUAUGUCCUUGGAGAGAAUGCUGUGAAAAAAUUGAAAGAUAUGGAGUAUCUGGGAACAGUAGCCAGUAUUUGCCUUCAUUCUGACUAUGCUGCUGCACUUUUUGAAGGCAAAGUCCAGUUACAUUUGAUAGAAAGCGAAAUCUUGGAUGCUCAAGAAGAACGCGAGACUCGGCUUUUCCCAGCAGUGGAUGAUAAGUGCCGUAUCUUAUGCCACGCCUUAACUAGUGAUUUCCUCAUCUAUGGUACAGAUACUGGUGUCGUUCAGUAUUUCUACAUUGAAGACUGGCAAUUCGUUAAUGAUUAUCGACAUCCUGUCAGUGUGAAAAAGAUUUUUCCCGACCCAAAUGGGACCAGAUUAGUUUUCAUUGAUGAAAAAAGUGAUGGAUUUGUUUACUGUCCAGUCAAUGACGCUACCUAUGAGAUUCCAGAUUUUUCACCAACCAUUAAAGGUGUUCUUUGGGAAAACUGGCCAAUGGAUAAAGGUGUAUUUAUUGCUUAUGAUGAUGAUAAGGUGUACACUUAUGUCUUUCACAAGGACACUAUACAAGGAGCCAAGGUUAUUUUGGCUGGUAGCACCAAAGUUCCUUUUGCUCAUAAACCUUUGCUGCUGUAUAAUGGAGAGUUGACCUGCCAAACACAGAGUGGAAAAGUAAACAACAUCUACCUUAGCACCCAUGGCUUUCUCAGCAACUUAAAAGAUACGGGGCCUGACGAACUGAGACCAAUGCUGGCACAGAAUUUAAUGCUAAAGAGGUUUUCUGAUGCUUGGGAAAUGUGCAGGAUUCUGAAUGAUGAGGCUGCCUGGAAUGAGUUGGCCAGAGCUUGUCUACAUCACAUGGAAGUGGAGUUUGCAAUCCGUGUUUAUCGGAGAAUUGGAAAUGUUGGCAUAGUGAUGUCCUUGGAACAAAUAAAGGGAAUAGAGGACUACAAUCUUUUGGCAGGACACCUUGCCAUGUUUACCAACGAUUAUAACCUGGCUCAGGACCUGUACCUUGCAUCCAGCUGUCCUAUUGCUGCCCUGGAGAUGAGAAGGGAUUUACAGCAUUGGGACAGUGCUCUACAACUGGCAAAGCAUUUGGCCCCAGACCAGAUACCUUUUAUAUCAAAAGAAUAUGCUAUUCAGCUUGAAUUCGCGGGUGAUUAUGUAAAUGCUUUGGCUCAUUAUGAGAAAGGAAUAACAGGUGAUAAUAAGGAACAUGAUGAAGCUUGUCUGGCUGGAGUGGCCCAGAUGUCCAUAAGAAUGGGAGACAUACGUCGAGGGGUUAACCAAGCCCUCAAGCAUCCCAGCAGGGUCCUUAAAAGAGACUGUGGAGCCAUAUUGGAGAAUAUGAAGCAAUUUUCAGAAGCGGCCCAACUGUAUGAAAAAGGUCUCUACUACGAUAAAGCAGCAUCUGUUUACAUCCGCUCUAAGAAUUGGGCAAAAGUUGGUGAUCUUCUGCCCCACGUUUCUUCUCCUAAGAUCCAUUUGCAGUAUGCCAAAGCCAAGGAAGCAGAUGGAAGAUACAAAGAAGCUGUUGUGGCUUACGAAAAUGCAAAACAGUGGCAAAGUGUAAUCCGCAUCUAUCUGGAUCACCUCAAUAAUCCUGAAAAAGCUGUCAAUAUUGUUAGAGAGACCCAGUCUCUGGAUGGAGCCAAAAUGGUAGCCAGGUUUUUUCUACAGCUUGGUGACUAUGGGUCUGCCAUCCAGUUUCUUGUCAUGUCCAAAUGCAACAAUGAAGCUUUCACACUGGCUCAGCAACACAACAAAAUGGAAAUCUAUGCAGAUAUUAUUGGUUCUGAAGACACUACUAAUGAAGACUAUCAAAGCAUUGCCUUAUACUUUGAAGGAGAAAAGAGAUAUCUUCAGGCUGGAAAAUUCUUCUUGCUGUGUGGCCAAUAUUCACGAGCACUUAAACACUUCCUGAAAUGCCCAAGCUCGGAAGAUAAUGUGGCAAUAGAAAUGGCAAUUGAAACUGUUGGUCAGGCCAAAGAUGAACUGCUGACCAAUCAGCUGAUAGACCAUCUCCUGGGGGAGAACGAUGGCAUGCCUAAGGAUGCCAAGUACCUGUUCCGCUUGUACAUGGCUCUGAAGCAAUACCGAGAAGCUGCCCAGACUGCCAUCAUCAUUGCCAGAGAAGAGCAGUCUGCAGGCAACUACCGGAAUGCACACGAUGUUCUCUUCAGUAUGUAUGCAGAAUUGAAAUCCCAGAAGAUCAAAAUUCCCUCCGAGAUGGCCACCAACCUCAUGAUUCUGCACAGCUAUAUACUAGUAAAGAUUCAUGUUAAAAAUGGAGAUCACAUGAAAGGGGCUCGCAUGCUUAUUCGGGUGGCCAACAACAUCAGCAAAUUUCCAUCACCAGCUCCAUGAAGUGGUAUGUCAGGGCCCCAAGACCACUCCCAGGUUUGAUGACUCUUCACUGGGAGGAUUUACAAGAGUCAACACACAGUAGUACCAAAGCCGAGAUUUGUCACAGCAAAAGGAUCUGAGGCAAAAUGAGCAGAAGGAUUCACGCAAAGGCGAGCAGGUGCAGGCACGGACAUCCAAGAGUCCCUUCCCAGUGGAGCACACAGGACGCAAGUUCCGUAACUCCUCCACGACUGACUUGUACAACAUGGUGAAACGUAGAGUGCCAAGAAGCUCAUUAGAGACUCAGCAGCCAGGAGUUUUAUUGGGGUGUGGUCACAUAGGUGCCCCCUGCGUGGCAUGUGCCCAGUUUUCCAGGCUCCCAGAGAACAGAUGUUUGGCAUAAACCACAUUGUUUGUACAAAGGGCACGGUGAGCCACUCAUCAGUUCUGGAAAUGGUGGGAACCGUCUCCAAAUCUAUGUUCCAGAUGCGAGCCAAGGGUUAGCUGUUCAAGCCUUUCCAAGGAUGACAGUCUCAGGCCUGCACACACAAGUACUUUUCUGAACAAACUGGGACAAAAGAAAUAACAUUUGCCCAAGAUCACAUUGUCAGCUAAUAAUAGCCUGACUCUGUGUUCGCAAGCACGGUAGGACGUUGCCUCUGAAAAGGCCUCACUAUUCCAAAAGACAUGUCAUGAUAACAUUCUUAAGUGAUUAAAUACUGUCACAUUAUAUGACAGGGAUCAGCAAACUUUUUCUGUAAAGGGCCAGAUGUUAAAUAUUUUAGACUUCGUGAGUCAUAUGGUCUCUGUCACAACUGCUCAACUCUGCCAUCUUCUCAUGAAUAAUACAUAAACGAAUGGGCAUGACUGUGUUUCAAUAGAGCUUUAUGUUUGGACACAAAUGUUAACCACAUACACUUUUAACAUGUCACAAAAAUAUUUUUCUUUUGAUGUUUUUUCAACCAUUUAAAAAUGUAAAAAUCAUCCUUAGCUCAUGGGCCAUACAAAAAGUCAGAGGGCUAGAUUUGGUCCAUGGGUCAUAAUUGGCCAACCCACAUUCUCUAAGUGUAUUUUCGUUGUUACAUCAAAGUCUACCAUGCGGGCAAGGUAUGGGAUAGGACAGGCACUCUCAUGACUGCUGGUGGGGAUGAAAAUUGGUAUGGCCUUUGCAGGAAGCAGUUUGGCAAUUUGUGGUAAGAGUAUUUUUUAAAAGGUCCUGUUUUUGAGCCAGUAAUUCUGGGUGUCUGUCCUGAAGAAAGAAUUUGAUGCCUGCAGAGAGAUUAGUGUAUAAAGUCAUUAAUCCCCCUAAUGCUUUUAUCAGCAGUCCUGUCAGAUGCAAAAAAUAUCUAAGAGGCACGAAAGGAAACUCACGGAAGUGUUGCUUCAAGGGGUGCAGGUCCUAGUGUUACAAGGCAGAACAUGGUGUCAUCAAAGGAAAAGCACUUGAUGGGCAGUUAGCCUGACCCCACAGCUACGUACUUUCCUCAUUAAACAGAUCAUAUCUGGUUCUUUGCAGAAAAAGCAAAGUUCAGAGACCAUGACCCUGUUUUCCUACAGAACCAGGGUGGAGUCCCGCCUGUAUCACUGAGGACAGGAGACACUGUGCUGUUGCUGCUCUCGCCUUUUCUCUUGUAGACAUUGUACCCAUCCUGACGUCAACUGUGAUUGAGUGUCACAGGGCAGGCCUGAGGAACUCUGCUUUCAGCUUCGCAGCUAUGUUGAUGAGGCCUGAAUACCGCAGCAAAAUAGAUGCCAAAUACAAAAAGAAGAUCGAGGGAAUGGUCAGGAGACCCGAUAUAUCCGAGAUAGAAGAGGCCACGACUCCAUGUCCAUUCUGCAAAUUUCUUCUCCCAGAGUGUGAACUCCUCUGUCCUGGAUGUAAAAACAGUAUCCCAUAUUGCAUUGCAACAGGUCGACACAUGUUGAAAGAUGACUGGACGGUGUGUCCACAUUGUGACUUCCCUGCUCUAUACUCAGAAUUGAAGAUCAUGCUAAACACUGAAAGCACAUGUCCUAUGUGUUCAGAAAGAUUAAACGCUGCUCAGCUGAAAAAGAUUUCAGACUGUACCCAGUACCUGCGAACGGAGGAGGAACUGUGAGUGGCACGUGCAGAUACAAUGCUCCUGAGAAGACAGCAUUUUCCACAGAAGGCUGUUUCCUCCCCUGGUGGAUUUAAGAGACGGUCCUUUCUGGAUACAGAGAAAUGAAACAACGGUGACCUCUCCAGGUCAGCACUUUCCGCUUCUGUACGGUGGCAAAACGAUGACAUGUAACCUUGCUGUUUAUUGUACUUUGUAUAUUUCCUCUUCAAAGUCUUACACACUCUAUCCUCUGCACUGUUAAUAGUAACCUAUGACAUAAUUGUAAAUAUUCAGCUUUUUGCUAACUUUUGUAUUUUGAAAAACUUUAAAAUAAAAUUGUUGACUAGA